GAUUCCCUUCUAUGAACUGUAACUCGGUAAAACCUUUGAAAGUGUUGCAUGUUGCGUUUUAUAUUUUAGUUCAGUCUAGUUCUGUUAGGAGCUAUAAGUCCAGAGUUGGGCUUCAGUAAGAAGGAUUCAUACCAUUGAUGUGUAGGUGAGUCUAGAGUCGGGGUUCAGUAAGAAUGAUUCAUACCAUUGAUGUGUAGGUGAGUCUAGAGUCGGGCUUCAGUAAGAAUGAUUCGUACCAUUGAUGUGUAGGUGAGUCCAGAGUUGGGCUUCAUUCCAUUUCAAUUCAAGUCAAUUCUCUUCAAUGCUUUUCAAUUUUGGAAUUUGGUUAACUUUCUAAAUCGACCAAUUUGAAAUGGAAUGGAGCCCGUACCCUGACUGAGUCCCUGCAGCAGUCACACGUUGUAAUUUCCCCAAACCGGAGGCCAGUUCAGUUCUGGUUUCUAACCCACGUUAAGGACGUCAGGCCCGACAAAGCGUACCGACGUUCGAUAACUUGAUACGUCCUCAAACGUUUUAGAUAUGAUCCUAAGUCUAGGUUCAUCUAUAUACACGUGUUCUGUUCUUCUUCCAUACAAGGUACUAUAUGAGUAACAACCUACGUUUGGGUUCAUUGUUCAGCAGCACAAAGGAAUGUUCCGUUGGCACCUGCAGUCAAAACCGUUUUUGGGGGGGGGGAUUAAAAUAAGUGGUUGAAGUAGCAGGACGUCGGUGGCUAUGAUGUCAUAGCUGUUUAUACCCAGCCUGUUAUACUGAUGAUACCAAGGUCAGCCUUUGGCGAUGUAUUUGUCUUCAGUUCAUUUUACAUCAUGUUUGGUGAUUUUAUGUGUGUGGGGGGGGGGGAGAGAGGUGUACACCUGAACAUAGAUUAUAAUGCUUUCAGUUGUCUGAGUGGAGAACAACCGUUGAGUCCACUUGACCAGGUAAACACUUGAAAAUCCUCCCGGGUUUACAGUGCCCAGCAACAUCUCUCUCUCGCCAGGGAAAAUACUUCCAACUCAGAAUGAAAUCCUUGAAGUACCUGUAUGACAUCAUAGUGUCCCCCCUUUUAACAGAUACGUUAAACACCUGUCCUGUAGACGGAAACGUCACCAGUCAUCUUACCUAAAGUGAGGCACACCCUGGUGACCUCCAAUUACAAUGUAACAACAGACUGAUGUCAUUGGCUAGAAGAGGAACCUCUGUCAAGAAGGGUCCAAUGAGAGCUGGCCACUUCAAUGAUUGACAGCUGAGAGCACCAAUCGCAGAAUAGCGCUACUAUGCAAACAUGAAACGGACGUUGCUAUUUUGAACGCUAAAGAUUGUUACCAACCAACUAAGCGGUUUAUUAAAAGAGACCUGGACUGUCAAAAAAAUAUCACUCAUGAAUAUCAGCAGUGUGAACAGUUUUAAAUCGUUUUUGUUGUCGAUCUCUGCAGAUGAAGGGCUCUAUUCAAUCCGCGUGGCGGAAGUUCAGUUUUGUAGGGUGAUGGAAAUUUAAAGGCUGUGUUCCUGCUUUAGCAGAGACUGCAUUGACGGUAAACAGUGCGUAUGUCCGCCCCGUGGGGAAAUGACCUUUACAUUCCAAUCACAGAAUCUACAGACUGAAUAGAGCUCGAGAAGGUUAAUGUCCAAACAAAAUGUUUCUUUGUAUUUAGGUCAAUGUAUAAUAUUUGAUCUGCUCUUUGUAGAGAAGACAUUUUAUAAAAUGUUCCUAGUGUUGUUUUACAGCUCUGUACGACGGGUCUGUGGAUCUGAUGAUGAGAUGAAUCAUGUACUGUUUGACUGGAUCAUCAGAGUUGUCUCUGACUGGAAAUAAAAUCACUUCUACCCGUG